rnacentral:rRNA from 1 species
UAUUUUGAUCAUGGCUCAGUAGUGACCGCUGGCUUGUAUGGCCUAACACAUGCAAGUCGAACGGCAGCACAGGAGAGCUUGCUCUCUGGGUGGCGAGUGGCUGGACGGGUGAGUGAAUACAUCGGAAUCUACUCUGUCGUGGGGGAUAACGUAGGGGAAACUUACGCUAAUACCGCAUACGACCUACGUGGUGAAAGCAGGGUGAUCUUCGGACCUUGCGCGAUUGAAUGAGCCGAUGUCGGAUUAGCUAGUUGGCGGGGUAAAGGCCCACCUUUGCGACGAUCCGUACCUGGUCAUGAGAGUAUUAGUCAGCCACACUGGAACUGAGACACGGUCCAGACUCCUACGGGAGGCAGACAUGUGGGGAAUAGUUGGACAAUUGGGCGCAAGCUAUGANUCCAGCCAUACCAGNCGUGGGUGAAGAAGGCCAGAUC